GCUUCCUUCCUGAGGUCAAUUAGGAACGUGGAGUGAACCAUGGGGACGGGGAAGCAGCCCAACCUCUUCCAUUCUCUAAUCUGAAGUUCGAAGGGCUGCCUGCCGCAGUUUCAUCACAUGGGCAAACCGGGAGCCUGGCCAAUGCUUUGGUCCAAUUUCAUCAGGGCUUCGUGGCAGAUGAACAAAUUCUCCAGAUAUGGUCAGAGGUCCAUGCGCACCGGUCUUUGAUCUCCUGCCCUGUUCCAGGGGAAGAGCAGCGCUGACCACACCAGCCCACUGAGGAAGACUUGCCAUCCCCCCUCAAGACAAACUGCUCUGUCCCUCCACGCCCCUGGCACAGGCGAAUAAACAG